AAUGUGGCCGGUUGUGUAACAAGUCAUUUUCUUCGACUCUCUCUCCGCCUCCCUCCUUCCCUCCCCACUACCCUCUUCAUCUUCUUCUACUCCUUCGCCAUCCUCUCCACCACCAGCCCAGGAGCCACCACCCACCGUGCCAAGCACCGCCAUCCUCUUCCCUGAAAAAAUUCGCCUUGUUUCACUUUAGCUGCCAUGAGAUCGUCAUCGUUGCCGUUCUCAGCUGCGUCCAUAGUUGUGAUUUGUCAAGUUCUAUUUUCCCUGUUCUUUGAUCAAAAGCUUUGAAGAGCUGGAAUCGCGGUUGCAGAUCGUUCAAUAGAUUUCGAUCCUAAUUGCCAUUCACGUUGCUGGUCGUUGUUUGUUGCUGUCCGUCGCCGUUCAUUGUAAGCCAUCUUUGCUGGCUUCAUCUCCGAUGAGCACCAAGAGUGUGCUUUGUUUCACUUUGUUCCAUCACCUAAAAUUUCGAAGGUUGUUGGACCUUAUUUGAAGUCCUCAUGAUGAUUUUAAUUUCGAGUGUUGACGAGUUUUAAAGUCAGUUCACGCUUCCUUAAUCAUAGAUUGUGAUUAGAAUCUUCAUCAAGGUACAAUUCUAUUCACUUAAUCUUGAUUUAUUAAGGACAAAAAUAGCUAUGUCAAAAGCUAGUUUCCGAUUGAACAACAAUCUGAUUGAGUUUGACUUUAGCUCGAUGAUUCUUUAUAUGUUUGCUUGUUUGGCUUCAUUUGGAUGUCGGAUUCUAAAUUGCUUUGAAUGUAAAUACUGUCAGGAAAUUGGUCGCCACAUGUUCAAUGGAAUACCUAAAUUGAACUCUUGCAGAUUUGUCUCCUCCUGCCAUCAAUGUCGAAACCAAAAUGAAACCCUUAAAAUGGACAUCCUCAAGCAAGAACUACUUAAGAUGCGCCAAACCCUCGCCGAAGAAAAUGACGGCCGGCGCAUCUUCAACCCUCCUCCAUCUACAUUGAGGGCAAAUUGAAUAAGGUUUUAGUUUGGGGUUGCGAUCAAUUUGGAAAAUUCUCUGUAAGUUGUUAUUUAGGGUUUAUAUGUUGGGGCAAAACACGUAAACAACAUUGUUUUGAUACAUAUGCUGACUAAAUUAGAGGUCAUCAUCUUCGUAAUUGUGUUUCUCUGACAAUUAUGAAGAUGGAGAUUGAUCAUAUUUCUUAUAAUAAUAAAUGAACAAAAAAUAUUUUUGUCGUCAAGCGAUAAUAAAAAUAU
rnacentral:lncRNA from 1 species